AGCAAAGAACAUUCCAGACAGCUGUGAUACUAAGUGCUACCCAUAGGAUCCAGUUUCCUUUCUUCCAAUAGCUAGCUAUUUACUAAGCCAGGUAAUGUUCUAAAUAACAUGCAAGUUCAUUUAAUCACAUCUUUGAGGUAUAUAUUACUAUUAGAUCCAAUUUAUAGGUAAGAAAAACAAGACACAAAUGUUAUUGCCUGUGGUUACAUAAUUAAGCUGUAGGAUUAAGAUUUGAAACCCAGGAGGGAAUUCCUUGGCGGUUCAGUGGUUAGGACUCUGAGCUUUCACUGCUAGUGGCCCAGGUUCAAUCCCUGGUUGGGAAGUAAGAAUUCCACAAGCUGUGUGGUGCAGCAAAAAACAAAACCUGAAACAAGGAAAUUUGGUUCCAGAGACAAUUUUGCCAAAAUGUCUCUCAAGUGAAAUACUUCUGUAAGUUGUUUCACAUUUGUUUUUAGCAUCUGAUCCUACCUUUUCAUUCUUAUCAUUGCCACCUUUGUUCAGCCCCUUAUUACCUAACACCUGGUACUUCAUUAGCUUCCUGAUUGCUCUCCUUGUUUCCCUUCCCAAACUUUUGCACAAGUCCAUUGGGUUAAUCUUUGUAAUCAAAAAUAACUCUGAUUAUACUAUUCUCCAAUACCCCUAUUGAACCCCACUGCCAAGGGCAUCAGGGCAGCAGCACAUUUGAAGUUCCUCAAAAGCCUGGCAGGGAAAGCUGUCCACAAUAUGGCCUCUGCCUACCUGAGAAGCUGUAUCUCUCACUUGCUCAUGAAAGCUCUGCUUUGGCAAAACUGGUCACCUCACGGACCCAAACCUGCCUUUGUCCUUUCCUACAUCUGCCAGAAAUGCUCUCCACUGCCUGGUCAAACAGACUCCCUGAAAGGACCUAUCAACAUUUUGCUCUUUGAGGCUGUUCAUUUCUCCCUAAGGUUGUAGAUCUCACUGACUGCCCCCCCCCCCUUACUACUCCACCUCCUACUUCUUUUGGAACUCAUACUCGACUAUUCAUGUCUUUUGGUAAUGGUAACAAUGGUAAAUAUGUCUCAUGGUGUUGUCACUCUGCCUGUGUACAUCAUGUCUCAUCCCAACCAGAUUAGAAAUUCCUGGAGAGGAGGGACCAAGUCUUAGUUUUCUCCAAGGCAAUACCUAGAUGGAUAGGAGGUUUCACCAGGCUAUGCUGAUACAUUUAGGAGAACUCUGAACACAAGUGAUUUUUAACCUUUGGAAUACAUCAAACUUACUGUGGACUUUUUCUCCAAAAUUCAUAUGCCAUGUACCCAGACUUGGGGAUUACAUCUGAGGUAAGAUCCAAGCAUCUUUAUUUUCAAAUCUCUCCCCAGAUGAUUCUGAUGUAUAUAACAGAUUAGAAACUACUACCUACCUCAAAAGGACCUGCCAACCUCAAAAGGCAAAUACUUCUCUAAAUCCCCAUUCUCUCCUAAGGUGCAUAGAAAGUCUGAUGACAAAAGUGCCAGCUCUGCCACAUACUCAACCUCUUCGAACCUCUUCAUUUGUAAAAUGUGGAUAUCACCUUCACAGACAUUUUAUUGGUUCAUGAAGACAAUGGGAGAGAAUACUUGAAAUUGGAACACCUCAGGCCUGUGAUAACCAGUGAAAGCAACAUGACAUAGUGAUUAAGAGCAUGUGCUCCAGAGCCUGGCUGCCACAACUGGAUAGGUCUGCCAUUCACAGACUGAAACUUCAGGCAAAUCACUUUUCCUGUUUGUUUCAUCAUAUAUAAACAGGAAGAUAACUAUACCUACAUGAUAGAAUUAUGAAAAUCAAAUGUGUAAAAUUAGCUGAUGACUAUCAAUGGGUCCUUUUUGAUGAAUUAAUGCAUAAGUAGAUAGCAACUCACUGUCACACGUCAUCAAAAAGGUGAAGUGGCAUUUGCUUACCAACACAACUAAUCCUUAGCCCAUCCACAAUGGGCUGGUAGCUCAGGUACUGGUCAGGAAGAAAUGUGUGUACAAACCAGGGAGAGCUAAAUAUUUUCUUGUAUUAAACUUUUAGAGCCAUACUCAAACUAUACUGUCCAUUGUUUUUCUGAUAACAGGAAUAGUUUAUGGAAGCAAAUAAAAAAUCAUGUGUAAACAAACUUUUUGGAGUGUAUAUGUGACAAGCCAUAAUAGGUAUUUGUGUUUGUAACACUGAGACAAUUCUGAACAUUUUCGAAUUCUGGGCUUUAAAAAAAAAAAAAAGAUUAUACUACCACGUCAUUAAACAUUUUUACCACUAUGUACUUAACUAUUUCUAAAAUGACUUUAUUAAUAUUUUGAAAAUAUGAAUGUACUAUGUUUAAUAAUUUCUAUAUUAUUGAAUAUUUAAAUUGUUUAUAACUUUUUAUAUUAAACUUUGCUAUAAUGAACAUCUGGAAAUAAAUCAUGAGUAUCUCAGUUUUUAUAUACCAUAAAAUAUAAUUUUAGUUGAAGAAUUUGAGCAUUUUUUAAAAGACUCUUGACAGUUAUCACCAGAUUACCCACCAAGAAAGUUUUUGUAUUUCUGCUCCCACCAAUAACAUAUUAAAAACGCAAGUUCUGCCCACCCCUGGAAUUAUCUUUUAAAGAGGUAUAAUUUUAAUUUCCCAUUUUUUAUUAUUAAUGAAAUUGAACAUUUUUUUACUUUAUUGGAAAUUUUUGUAUACUUUGUGACUUAUCCAAAUCUUUAUUCAUUUUAUUUUACUGUUUGCCUUUGUCUUAUUCUGUAUCCUUUUAUUUUGCAAAUAUUGGUGCAAACAUUCAUAAUUUCCUAGUUUAUGCACCUUUUAAAUUGUGUUUGGGCUUCCCUGGUGGCUCAGACCGAUAAAGAAUCUGCCUGCAAAGACCUGGGUUCCAUCCCUGGGUUGGGAAGAUGCUCUGGAGAAGGAAAUGGCAACCCACUCCAGUAUUCUUGGCCUGCAGAAUCUUUCACUAAAUUGUGUUUAUAGUGUUGGCAUUUUAUGUGGCCAAAUGUGUCUCUCUCUCUCUCUCUAUAUAUAUAUAUAUAUAUGUAUUUUGUUCUACCCAUUUACUAGUACUCUCUACCCUGAGACUAGAUAACCAGUCACCUUUAUUUUUAAAAAUUGUUUUGUGCUUUUACUUUUUACAAAGUAAUCUUAUAUAGAAAUUGAGUAUACUGUAAAGUGAAGCUCUUUUUUUUUUUACAUUUUAAAUUUAUCUUUUAAUUGAAGGACAGUUGCUUUACAGAAUUGUGUUGGUUUCUGCCAAACAAGACUGUUAACUUUAUUUUUUCCAAAUGGUUAACCAGUUACUAGAGAACAAUUUAUUGAAUAAUCCUUUAUUUCCUCAUUGCUUUGUUUCCAGAAUCUCUCUCUUAUUCUACAAAUCUCUUAAUAUACACAAAUACUAGUACUACACAGUUUGAAAUAUUAUUGCUUUAUAGUAGGGCUAUGUCUAUCUUGCUCACCACUGUAUACUUAGAACCCAGUAUAGUGCCUAGAACUAUACAGUCACUCAACUGUUUGAUUAUGAAGUGAAGGUUACUGUUAUGCAAAAGUGGGAAGUGGAAGAUGACACCCUCUGGAAUGGAUAUGUUCCAAGUUAAGACCUUUAUGUAGGUGACUGUGAGGCCAUCAGGCCUGGGGCUUCCUAAAUAUUCUGAAAUACUGAGACAAGGAAACAGCUAACAAACAGAUAUUUCUUUCCAGGAAGCUUGAGAUAAUGGUGGAAAAAGCUUUCUCAGAGAAAGAUAUUACAAUCUCCAUCACUUCCUAGUCAACCAUACUACUUGGGAAACACUGUGACAAAGUGAGUCAUAUUUCUUUUAAGACUGCAGAAAGCUAUUUCCAUUCUCUAACAUUCUUGUGUCCAUUUCUCUUCCUCUUAAGGCCUAAAUCCUGUACAUAUGCCUGAUAAUUUCACUGGGCCUCAGUGUCUGUGCUGAACUCCAGGGACUGCAACUAGAUCUGGAAGUGGGAAGCUAAAGGAUAUGGAGCUGAAUGUUACUGAACCUAGUGUAUACUUACAAAAUAAAUCUGCAGUUCCUGA